rnacentral:rRNA from 1 species
CUGUGUCCUUCGACGCCGGUUCACCGCCUGUCGGUGCCAACUGGCGUUUUGCGGGACGUCCUGUCGGUGGUGUGCCAGGAAUCUUUGUUGUGCUAAGCUCUGCUCAGUGCAGCUCUGGUUUCGGGCCACUUUCAUAAUCCCGCCGCGGUGCUCUUAAUCGAGUGUCGAGGCGGGCCGGCACGUUUACUUUGAACAAAUUAGAGUGCUUCAAGCAGGCUUGUCACGCCUGUAUACUGUGUGCAUGGAAUAAUGGAAUAGGACCUCGGUUCUAUUUUGUUGGUUUCCGGAAUCUGAGGUAAUGAUCAAUGGGGACAGGCGGGGGCAUUCGUAUUGCGACGUUAGAGGUGAAAUUCUUGGAUCGUCGCAAGACGGACCGAAGCGAAAGCAUUUGCCAAGUAUGUUCCCGUCGAUCAAGAACGAAAGUUAGAGGUUCGAAGGCGAUCAGAUACCGCCCUAGUUCUAACCAUAAACAAUGCCUGCCAGCGAUCCGCCGGCGUCCCUCCGAUGACCCGGCGGGCAGCUUCCGGGAAACCAGAGCUUUUGGGUUCCGGGGGAAGUAUGGUUGCAAAGCUGAAACUUAAAGGAAUUGACGGAAGGGCACCACCAGGAGUGGAGCCUGCGGCUUAAUUUGACUCAACACGGGAAAACUCACCAGGCCCGGACACCGGAAGGAUUGACAGAUUGAUAGCUCUUUCUUGAUUCGGUGGGUGGUGGUGCAUGGCCGUUCUUAGUUGGUGGAGCGA